UUUAAUACUAAUAAUAGAGUCUCGGUAAAUCGUUAAAAUUGACAGGAGUGCUUGUGUAAAAUAGACGAAGCUUGAUGUCAAGUACGAUUCGAUUGGCGACACAAUACUGUUCUAUAUGCUGUUCUCAAGAGAAAAUAAGUUCCGGAAAGUAAAAAUUAUUUUGUACCUUACGCAAACCAAUUCUUCUGUCGAUUAUCGCGAAGCUUUAAAAGCUAAUUUCUUAAACAUCUUCUGCUUAACAUUUCGCUGGCAGGAUGGUGUUUAUCAUCAAUGUGAUUAACUCUCCAGUGGCUGCACUUUGCUCUGAAGAAGAUCCAAGUAAAUAUUGUGAUUUCUAAUAUUGAUAGCGCAGCUAUACAGGCGCCCAAGUAUUCGUAGAUGAUCGUUAGCAUGCAUCGUUUACAAGUGAAUAUCGAGUCAUUUAAAAAAUAAAACGGUCUUUCAUACUGGCUCCACCAAAUUCAAAGUCUUCAAUAACUGAGUCUGACGCAAACAAUAGUGUCACAGACUAUCUCAGAUUCAAUCUCAAGAAAAUUAUGAUUAAUCAUUAUGAGACGUCGGCCAUAUCUCAGCUGAUAAAGGUGAGGUCAGACACUAGCUCUAAAUGAAUGACACGAGUCGCAAAACAAACGAAAAUAGAGAUAAAGCAUUUAAAUUCUCUACAUCCACGACCCUUUCUAUCCUUUAUGAGAAAAAGGCCACAAUAAUCAAAACCUGUAGUGUAAAAUAGAGGAACGGGACUCACUCAACUAUUUGGAUUCCAUUUCUAUUGCCCUCCAUCCGCUUCGUUAAGGAAUAAAGCAAGGAGUAAUAGAAAAGAGUUAAAUGUCUGCGUUGAUGGUCUGGCCACAAUCUAAGUAAUCGAUCAGGAUACCACUUAACUUUUA